UAGUGAACAUUUAUCAAAACUUAAUCAGCAAGCCCAUUUACAAAGAAAAUAACUUGAAAAAGAAAGGCCAGUUUGUCAGCAAGCCCAUUUACGAAGACAUAUAUAAGUCCGCAGACCAGAUGUCCUCUACGUGGAGACUUUCCUUGCCCCCGGCGAUGAGGAGGUCGACCCUCUAUCAUUCAGAGUGUUGUGCUUGGCGCAAUGCAAGACUAAUCUGCUGCUUCUGGUCUUCUCCUCUUCCNNUGGACAAUAGCGUGCUCUUACUUAUGACAAAUGGGGUGCUCACGCUACACGUGCUUCCUUUCAAGACUCCGAGGCUGGGCUAUCGCCGUACCGCCAAUUCGUCCAUGGAUGUUUCUGUUGGCAAUUGCAUUUCCAGAAGUUGCUCCUGCUUGACACGACCAUCAUGGAGUUCUUUGAUGUCAACCUACCAUCCGAACGACGAUUGACGAGCCAGUUUUUCAUUGUCGAGGCAGCGGAUGGGGCGCUUGCAAUUGCAAGACUCUCCAAAUGGUACCCUGACUAUGGGUUCUUCGGUGUGGAUUUUGAUCCGGACACAGGGGACUCAUAUGCCCUCACUUAUUCCGUUCUGAGAAAUAACAAAUGGCACUCAGAGAAGAUCAUCCCAUUGCUGGCAAAGAGUGUGAUGCUGAUUGGUGUAGCCGGGGGAUACCUGCUUAUUAAGGAGUUAUACACCAACUCUUCACAAGAGGAGCAGUUCGGAUACUUUACGGUGGACGUGAAGAACUUGCAUGUUGAGCUGUUUGCUGGGCUUAGCGAAGACGUCUGGCCCAGUGAACUAUAUGCAGGUUUCCCACCAUCAUUAUGUGCGCCAACUAUAUGAGUUGGUUGAGCUGUCAGCAUACUCUUUGCUUACUCUUGUUCAAUUUGGUUACAGUGUGGCACAUCAAAGCAAUACUUGGUAGGGUUUUGCUUGAUGUUAACAUACAAUCGCUGCCCUAUGCCGGUAGCCCGGUAAUGCGUGAAAUGGAGUUUGCCGGAGCUGAAGUCAACGAGGAUGUCGAACAUCGAGCAGUCUGCGAAGGGAACUACGUUUUGUUCUAACGGCAGCUUCGCUCUUGGAGAAGAUGAACUUAUCAUGAAAUGGUCCAACUUAGCAGCAUUUCAAUUUGACCUCUUCACAUCUGACUCGAGCAAACCAUGGUCCUCUCGGAUGGAUUAUAUGAGCUGGUCAGUUUCCUUUAAUAUUUCAAUUGGUGCCAAGACAACAAAAUGUUGUAGAUACGGCAUCUAGCUUAAUACAUGAUGAUUGGUUGAUAAAAAUAACUUGCAUUCUGACUUUGAGUAAGCAGCCGGAGAGCUAAACGGAGUGUGGAAAUAACGA
rnacentral:lncRNA from 1 species